UGGGGAAUAUUGCACAAUGGGCGCAAGCCUGAUGCAGCCAUGCCGCGUGUGUGAAGAAGGCCUUCGGGUUGUAAAGCACUUUCAGCGAGGAGGAAGGUGGUGAGCUUAAUACGCUCAUCAAUUGACGUUACUCGCAGAAGAAGCACCGGCUAACUCCGUGCCAGCAGCCGCGGUAAUACGGAGGGUGCAAGCGUUAAUCGGAAUUACUGGGCGUAAAGCGCACGCAGGCGGUUUGUUAAGUCAGAUGUGAAAUCCCCGGGCUCAACCUGGGAACUGCAUUUGAAACUGGCAAGCUAGAGUCUCGUAGAGGGGGGUAGAAUUCCAGGUGUAGCGGUGAAAUGCGUAGAGAUCUGGAGGAAUACCGGUGGCGAAGGCGGCCCCCUGGACGAAGACUGACGCUCAGGUGCGAAAGCGUGGGGCAGCAAACAGGAUUAGAUACCCUGGUAGUCCACGCUGUAAACGAUGUCGAUUUGGAGGUUGUGCCCUGAGGCGUGGNUUCCGGAGCUAACGCGUUAAAUCGACCGCCNGGGGAGUACGGCCGCAAGGUUAAAACUCAAAUGAAUUG
rnacentral:rRNA from 1 species